rnacentral:rRNA from 1 species
UACAGAGGUCUCAAGCGUUGUUCGGAUUCAUUGGGCGUAAAGGGUGCGUAGGCGGCGCGGUAAGUCGGGUGUGAAAUCUUGGAGCUUAACUCCGAAACUGCAUUCGAUACUGCCGUGCUUGAGGACUGGAGAGGAGACUGGAAUUUACGGUGUAGCGGUGGAAAUGCGUAGAUAUCGUAAGGAAGACCAGUGGCGAAGGCGGGUCUCUGGACAGUUCCUGACGCUGAGGCACGAAGGCCAGGGGAGCAAACGGG